UAUAGUAGAUAUUUACUAAGUGUUUAUUGAUUAACAUUUAUCAAUCAUCAAUAUGGCCUGUUACAGGGGUGAUAGAAGUCUGUUUGUUUGAGAUGUGAAACUUUGUCAUGUUUUCUAAGGCUUAUACAAAACCAUAACCCAAGCUUGUCAUCAGAAAUUCAAUUAUGUUGUGAAGACAGAGUUAGUAUAUCAGAUAAUUCCAUGAAAAGGGACCAUUCUGAGAUGGGAAUGGGAAGAAAAUGUCUUAGUGACCCCUGCCUCUUGAGCAUUGAUCUACUUAAUGAUAUUCAAAGGAUCCCGAGGUUAAUGGACUUCCCAUCUUGCAUUGGAUAUCUUAUCAGUAUCCUCAGAAGAGCUGAAGGCAGCAUCUUUUAUUAGGGCAGGGGCAACUUGGUCAUCAUGAACAAAGCACAUUUGCUGCUUUUCAAACAUUCAAGAACAAAAAUACGUUCAACUCAUGGAAGAUUUGGAGGAUUCCAAUGAAAGGCCUUCUAGGGGUUCUGAGUUAUCCCCCCUCCUUCCCUGCUUCAUGUGCUAUAUAAGCCAAGUCAUUCUGCUCUGGACCUACCAUGCACUGAUGGGCUAAUGAGUUCAGACAAUUGGUGGGAUUGGCUGAUUGACUGAUUAAUAUCAGCCGUAAAACAUGAGGGGAAGCACACGGGUGUAAAAUCAUGGGUUUAAGUGAGCAUAGCCACAAUCUGGGAGCUCAAUAAAUCAGUACUAAUGUAAUCUUGAACAAUAGGCCCAGAAUAUAUAGUAUGGUUAGUAGGUAUCAAAGUUGAAUCAUUAUCAAAAUCAAAUCAUUUUUUUUUUUUUUUUUUUUGCUUAAACCAGUUGUUACUUCCUUCUUUCUCUAGCUAGUUCAUAGUAACUACAUUUAACUUAUUUAUCUAUAUUGUUACAAGGAAUAGUGGAUAGAGAGCUUGGAUAUCCUUGGAGACAACAGUCUUAUAUUUGAGUCUUGUUUUACCUAUGGAUUAAGUGGACUUGAGUAAUCCACAUGGCUUCUAAGUGGACUUCAGAAAUCUCUAACUUCAGUUAUAGAAGAGCUACUGGGCUAUAUUGAUAAAGUGAGGUGCCUUGUUUGGAAUUUGCCUGUUACUGUGAAAUUAUAGAUUGAUGUCCUUGUCUUGUCAUUUGGCAGCAGCAGAUCUAUGUCUAAGGCAUUAGAGACGAAUACUAAUUACAUGUCAUUUAAUGGCUGAUAAGUACCUUAAGGAUAGGUGAGCUACAAGAAGCCCUCAAAUAAGGCUAUUCAGAAAAACAGUGGAAAAAGUGAUAAUAUGCCUUCUAAUGAAGGGGAAAUUUGGGGAUAAUCAUAUGGAGCACACUUUGUGGAUCUAAAUGUCCUCAUAUGUGAAAUGAGGAUAAUGUUGGCACCUGCCUCCCAUGAUGUGAAGAUCAAAUAUGAUAAUUGUACAAAUUUCAUGGAAUUAUAAAGAAAAUAAUAGUAAAUGCAAAUGGAACAAACUAAGCUCUGUAUAAAUGUUAGCUAUUAUGCUGUCACUGUUGUUAUUAUUGUAGCUGAGUACAUUAAACAAAUAACUAUUGUCAUAGCUAUUCUCAAGUAUGGGAAGAUCCAUCAUGUGAAAGAACAAACAGACUUUGGUAGAAAUGCCCCAUGGUGGGGAUGGCAAAGAAUCCCAUAUCAACUCAAUAAAAUUAAGAACUUCUAACACUUAGAGACAUUUAAAUGUGUAAAGUUGAACCUCUGGAGAUACUGAGUGCUCUUUCAUUAGAAGUCUUCAGUUGGGCUAGUGAAGUUUACAGGGCAAAGAGCUUUGAAAUGAAGGAAAACUGAAAAGUACAUAGAUCUUAAUAUUAGAAGAGAUCCUGUAUUUCAUUUCCUUUUUAAUAUGGAUUAUGUCUAUAGCUAUGAAUAGGGGACAACCUCUCCAAGAUUCAAUUUACUCAUCUCAAAAGUGGGGAUAAUAAAAAGGCAGUAUCUCCCCCAAUACACACAGUUAUCCUUGGAAUUUUUUUAAAUAAAACUCAAAAGUUUUCUACAUAUAAUAACUUCUCUGUCAUUUACUUUAAAAAUCUAAAGAUAAGGCUGUUCAUGAUAGGAUUAAGAGAACUGAAGGACAAAGUCAAGAGUCAUAGUUGGUAUCUUGCUGCCAUUUUCAUCAGCUUAGAAGUGUUAAUUGCUGUGUAAUUUAGGUGUGGGGGGGGAGGAGGGAAGCUUCACUGUUUUAGAUAUUUCUUUAAUAUUCACAAGUUAUGUGAACUUGGAAGAACACCUCUUCUGAACUUCAGAUGACUCAAGUUUAAAAUGGAAGUAAAAAUAUUUUGGCAGAUUAGAUGGCAAUGUACCGGUUAGAUCAGGUCUUCUUCAACUUUUUCCACUCACGACCUCUUUUUGCCCGAGGAAUUUUUACAUGACCCUGAGUUGAUAGGUAUAUAAAAUAGUUAUACAAAUCAAACAUUUACUGAUAAUGUCAUAAUUUUGUGACUCCCACAUUCAGUUACAUGACCCCACAUGAGGUCACAACCCAAUAUUUAAGAAGCUUUGAUUUAGAUAAUAUUCUGAUUCUUAUCCUGAAGCUUCAUUUCUUUCUCUACACAAUAUGGAAAGGAGAGUUGGAUUGUCCUUUAGGGAUGGAUAGGUAACAUCAAGGUUUGAGAGAACUGAAAAAUCAUAAAAGUCAUCAAUGUUAUCUGUGAGCCAAAACAUGUUUAUUUCAUUUAAUAGAGACAUCUAAACUGCUAUAAUAGAUUGAAUUUCAGAUUUGGAACCAAAAAGAUCUAAGUUAACAUAAAGGGCAGCAAAGGAGCAAAGUAAAUUGGAAUGCUGAGCCUAAAGUCAGAAACACUUUUCUUCCUGAGUUCAAGUCUAGAUGAGACACUGGUUUUGUGACUCUGGGCAAAUCACUUAAUUCUUUUUGCAUUGGUUUUAUUAUCCAUACAAUGAGCUGAGGGAAAAUAUUGGCAAAUUACUCUGGUAUCUUGGCCAAGAAAACCUAAAAAUCAGGUCUAGUUGGGCAUGAAUGAGACAAUUAAACAAUAGCAAGAAAUAUGUUGCUGAGUGCCACUUAACUCUUUUGUUUUAGUUUCCUUAUCUAUGCAAUAAAUUAAAAAAAGAAAUGGCAAAUCACUCCAGUAUCUUGACCACAAAAACAUAAAAUUGGGUUCAAGAAGAGUUGGGAAUGAAUAAAACAACCAAACAACAGCAACAAAAUUGUUGCUAAAUGCUAAGUCACUUAAUCGCUGUUUGCUUCAGUUUCCUCAUCUGUAAAAUGAAAAUAAUCAUAGUAUCUACCUCACAGAAUUGUGAAGAUUAAGUGGAAUUAUAUUUGUCACAUACUUAACAGAGUUCCUAGCACAAAAUAAACACCAUGUUUACAUGAUAGCUAUUAUUAUUAACAUUAGGAAAUGUGUAGUGUAAAGGAUUAAAGAAGUGGUAGUCCUUUUAUUCUACACUUGUCAGUUAACAUUUAUAUAAUAAUAAAAGGGAGCUAACAUUUAAUUUUAAGAUAUGCAGACUGCUUUACAUGCAUUCUCUUUUGAUUCUCACAAAGAUCAGAUGAGGUUGAUAUUAUUAUAUGCAUUUUACAGAUAAAAAAACUGAGACGAAGAAACAUGAAAUUUUACUUAUGGGGAGUUCCAUAUAUAGUGGAUUUCUGAAAUAGAAUUUAAACUUGGCUAUUCCCAGCUCCAGAUUAAAAAAAAAACCAACAACAAAAGUCUCUACUUCAUCAUCUGUCUAUUUACAUGUAGCUCUGCAUACCAGGUUUUAGGAAAGACAUAGUAAGUGAAAAGCUAAGGAAAAAUUAAUGGUCAUGGAUCUAUGGCAGGAUUAUGUCCAGUAAUUAGAAAUAUUUAACUCAAAAAGGAGAAAAAUCAGGUAAUGAUAAUUAUCUUUAUCCAGGACACUCUAAAAUUUUCCAUUAGAUUUAAGCUUUGUUAAUUUCAGAAGGGUGAAUGCCAAAAAACAUAUAUGAAACAAUGUUGGAAGAUUUAUAUUGGAAGAAAUAUAUAUAUAUAUAUAUACUUAUAUUUCAGAAUAUUGAUGUUUCUUAUUAAAAUUCAACAUAAAAAUUUUCUUAUACUAUAUAAUCCUUGAAUAUAUAUUUAAACUUUGUAAAAAUUUUUGACUCAUAUUUUUCAGUGACCUAAAAUGAUUACAAAAUGUAUUUGUAAUCCUAGAUUUUAGAUCAUCCAAAGAUGUGCUUUCAGGAUAUACAUGACAGUUUUAGGAAUGAGUCCCCAAGAAAACAUUUUAUGGAGAUAUAUCAGAAAAAUGAGGCAGCCAAGCAAGAGGAUGUGCUUUGCCAGACCAUGACUUUGAGAACGUGUCAUCCAAAAACUGUUAUGAAUAAAAUACAUAAUUACAAAGUGCUGAACCAUUUUAGUAUUAAAAUUGAAAAUUUAUCACCCAAAAUUCACCCAAAUAAGUGUCUAAAAUGAGAAUAAUUAUAGUUUCAAAUGAUUUUUUUUAAUUGUGGCAUUUAUACUUGUGAACUUAUCAAAGUCUUAACCCGCAUUAAAGCUUUUGAGACAUACAGAAUAUUCAGAGUUUGUAACCUUCUGAAAUAGAAGGACUUUCAUUUUUCUAACUGUGUCCUCACUAUCCAGGCAGUGUUGGCACAUAAUUGACACAAUAAAUAUUCUGUGAUUGAUUACUUCAAGAAAUACUUUUUUGUAAUUCUUGGCUUCAUUAGGUAGAGUGGAGCCAAACAAUUUCUUUCUUUUCUUAUUAAGUAUUUGUUUUAAUUUUCAAAACAUAUGCAUGGAUAACUUUUCAAUAUUAACUCUUGCAAAAGCUUGUGUUUCUUUUUUUUUUUAUUUAAUAGCCUUUUAUUUACAUGAUAUAUACAUGGGUAAUUUUACAGCAUUAACAAUUGCCAAACCUCUUGUUCCAAUUUUUCACCUCUUACCCCCCCACCUCCUCCCCUAGAUGGCAGGAUGCCCAGUAGAUGUUAAAUAUAUUAAAAUAUAAAUUAGAUACAAAAUAAGUAUACCCGACCAAAACGUUAUUUUGCUGUAGAAAAAGAAUCAGACUCUGAAAUAUUGUACAAUUAGCUUGUGAAGGAAAUCAAAAAUGCAGGUGUGCAUAAAUAUAGGGAUUGGGAAUUCAAUGUAAUGGUUUUUAGUCAUCACCCAGAGUUCUUUUUCUGGGCAUAGCUAGUUCAGUUCAUUACUGCUCCAUUAGAAAUGAUUUGGUUGAUCUCGUUGCUGAGGAUGGCCUGGUCCAUCAGAACUGGUCAUCAUAUAGUAUUGUUGUUGAAGUAUAUAAUGAUCUCCUGGUCCUGCUCAUUUCACUCAGCAUCAGUUCGUGUAAGUCUCUCCAGGCCUUUCUGAAAUCAUCCUGUUGGUCAUUUCUUACAGAACAGUAAUAUUCCAUAAUUUUCAUAUACCACAAUUUAUUCAGCCAUUCUCCAACUGAUGGACAUCCAUUCAGUUUCCAGUUUCUAGCCACUACAAAAAGGGCUGCCACAAACAUUCGUGCACAUACAGGUCCCUUUCCCUUCUUUAUAAUCUCUUUGGGAUAUAAUCCCAGUAGUAACACUGCUGGAUCAAAGGGUAUGCAGUUUGAUAACUUUUUGAGCAUAGUUCCAAACUACUCUCCAAAAUGGUUGGAUUCGUUCACAACUCCACCAACAAUGCAUCAAUGUCCCAGUUUUCCCGCAUCCCCUCCAACAAUCAUCAUUAUUUUUUCCUGUCAUCUUAGCCAAUCUGACAGGUGUGUAGUGGUAUCUUAGAGUUGUCUUAAUUUGCAUUUCUCUGAUUAAUAAUGACUUGGAGCAUCUUGUGUUUCAAUUUUCAUCCCUUACCCACUCCCUCCCCAGAUGACAAGUAAUCCAACAUAAAUUAAAUAUGGUAAAAUAUAUGCUAAAUCCAACACAUACAUAUAUAUUUAUACAAUUAUCUUUCUGCACAAGAAAAAUCAAAUUAAAAAGGAAAAAAAUAAAACAGAAAGAAAAUAAAAUGCAAACAAACAACAAACAGAGUGAAAAUGCUACGUCUUGAUCCACACUCAGUUCUCACAGUCCUCAAUCUGGGUAUAGAUAUCUCUCUUCAUUACAGGAUCGUUGAAACUGGCCUGAAUCAUCUUGAUUUGGAAAAGAGUCACUUCCAUCAGAAUUGAUCCUCAUAUAGUAUUGUUAUUGAAGUGUACAAUGAUCUCCUAGUUCUGCACAUUUUACUUACCAUCAGUUCAUGUAAGUUUUUUAAGGUCUUUCUGAAAUCAUCCUAAUGAUCGUUUCUUUUCAAACAAUGAUAUUCCAUAACAUUCAUAUGGCAUAACAUAUUCAGCCAUUCUCCAAUUGAUAGGCAUUCACUCAGUUUCCAGUUUCUUGCCACUACUAAAAGGGCUGCUACAAAGAUUUUUGCACAUGUGGGUCCAUUUUCCUCCUUUAAGAUCUCUUUGGGAUAUAAGCCCAGUGGAAACAUUGCUGAAUCAAAGGGUAUGCACACUUUGAUAGCCCUUACAAAUAGUUCCAAAACUCUCCAGAAUGGUUGGAUAAGUUCACAACUCCACAAACAAGAUAUUAGUGUCCCAGAUUUUCCAUAAUUCCUCCAACAUUCAUCAUUAUUUUUUACUGUCAUCUUAACCAAUCAGAGAGGUGAGUAGGCUGUUUACAUCAUUUCACCAUUUAUCAAUUAAAGAAUGGCUUGAGUUCUUUAAAAAAUUGAGUCAAUUAUAUAUUUUAGAAAUGAGGUCUUUAUCAGAAUCUUUGAAUGUAAAAAUGUUUCCCAGUUUAUUGCUUCCUUCUAAUCUUGUCUGUGUUAGCUUUGUUUGUACAGGAUUUUUUUAAACUUAAUAUCAUCAAAAUUAUCUAUUUUUUUGUUCAAUAAUGAUUUCUUGUUCUUUGGCCACAAAUUCCUUCCUUCACAAAUCUAAGAGGUAAACUGAACUUUGUUCUUCUAAUUUGCUUAUAAUAACUCUUUAUGUCUCAAUCAUGAACCCAUUUUGAUCCUAUCUUGAUAUAGAAUAUUAUGUGCGAGUUUAUGGUUAGUUUCUGCUAUACUAAUUUCCAAAUUUCCCAACAAUUUUUAUCAAAUAGUGAAUUUUUAUACUAAAAGUUGGGGGGGUUGGGGUUUCUCAAAUAUUUGAUUACUAUAGUCAUUGUGAACCUAAUCUAUUGUCCUGUGAAUCUAACCUAUUUAAAUGAUUGUCUAUUCUAUUUCUUAGCUAGUACCAAAUGGUUUUGAUGACCACUCCUUUGUAAUUUAGUUUUAGAUCUGGCACAGAUAGGCCAUAUUCCUUUGUAUUUUUUCAUUAAGUCCCUUGAAAUUCUUGACCUUUUGUUCCUCCAGAUGAACUUUGUUAUUAUUGUUUCUAGAUGCAUAACAUAAUUUCUUGUUAGUUUGAUUGAUAUUGCACUGAAUAAGUAGAUUUAGGCAGCAUUGCAAUUUUUGUUAUAUUAGCUUACCUACCUUCCAGUUGAUUAGCUCUGAAUUAUGUAUUUGAGUAGAAUGUGUUUUGUAUUUGUGUUCAUAUAGUUCCUGAUUUUGCCUUGUCUAUUAUUUUAAAUGGAAUUUCUCUUUGUAUCUCUUUCUGUUGAACUUUGUUGGUAAUAUAUAAAAAUGUUGAUGGUUUAUGUGAAUUUAUUUUGUAAGCUGCAACUUUACUAAAGUUGCAUAUUAUUUCUAGUACAUUCUUUUAGUUGAUUCUUUAGGGUUCUCUAAGCAUACCAUCAUAUCAUCUGUAAAAACUGAUAAUUGGGUUUCCUCAUUACUUACACUAUUGCCUUUUUCUUCUCUUAUUGCCAAAGCUAACAUUUCUAUUAAAAUAUUAAAUAGUAAUGGUAAUAGUAGGAAAACCUUGGUUCAUCCCUGAUGUUAUUGGGAAUUGUUCUAGUUUAUCACCAUUAUAUAUAAUGCUUGUUGAUCAUUCACUCAUUCAUUAGGAUUAGAUAAGUUUGUUUCCAAUUAAUUUGUGGUCUACUUUUCCCUGGCCUUUUAUUGUGUAUAUAUAUAUAUAUAUAUAUAUAUAUAUAUAUAUAUUUAUAAUUGCAUUAUGAUCUGAGAAAAAUGCAUUUAUUAUUUCUACAUUUGAUUUUGAAAUUUUUAUGCCCUAAUACAUGAUCAAUUUUUGUAUUGAUACCGUAUACUGCAGAGAAAAAAAAGUAUAUUCAUUUCUGUCUCCAUUCAAUUUUCUUCAAAGGUCUAUCAUCCUAACUUUCAUAGGAUUCUAUUUACCUUCUUAACUUCUUUCUUAUUUAUUUUGUGAUUUGAGAGAGUCAGGUUAAAAUAAUCCCUGGUAUAGCUUUGCUAUCUAAUUCUUCUUGCAGUUCUCUUAACUUCUCCUUUAGAAAUUUGGAUGGUAUACUACUUGGUGAAUAUAUAUUUAGUAUUGAUAUUCCUUCAUUAUCUAUGGUACCUUUAAGUAGGAUGUAGUUUCCUUCCUUAUCUAUUUUAAUUGGAUCUAUUUUUUGCUUUGGCUUGAUCUGAGAUCAAGGUUACUAUCCCUAUUUUUUUUUUUUAUCUUCAGCUGAAGCAUAAUCAAUUCUGCUAUAGCCUUUUAUUUUUACUCUAAAUUUAUCACUCCUUUGAAUGAGUUUCUUGAAAACAAGAGGUUGUAGCAUUCUGACUUUUAAUCCAGUUUACUAACUGCUUUCAUUUUAUGGGAGCAUUCAUCCCAUUCACAUUCACAGAUAAAAUUACUAACUCUGUAUUUCUUGCCAGGUUUAGCCCAAGUAUAUUUUCUCUUCCCUUUCCCCUUUUUCAUCCUUCCCAAGAGUUUGUGUCUGAUCACUCCCUUCCUCAAAUGGACCUCCCCUUUUGCUGCCCCUUCCCCUUUGUUUCACUUUUCCCCUUCUAUUUCUGUUCUCCCUUCUAUUGGCCUCUUCCCUUCCUUUCUCCUUUCCCAUCCUACUUCCUUAUAGGAUAAAACAAGUUUCUCUGUGAAACAAAAUGUAUCUGAUAUUGUCUCUUUGAGCCGAAUUUGAUGCAAAUAAGAUUUAUAUAAUGCUCAUUCCCCUCCCCCCUUUCCCUCAAUUACAGUCUUUUUUUGCCUCUUCAUUAGAUGUAAUUUUCCCUAUUUAAACUCAGUUUUCUCUUUUUCCAGUAAAAUCACUUUCCCUCCUCUAUUUUCAUUUUAAAAUCAUCACAAUAAAAUCAAAUUAUAUUUCCAUCCUCUAUAUAUAACCAGAACAGGAAUACAGAUCUCAGGAGUUAAACAUAUCAUUUUCCCAUAUAGGGAUAUAAGGUUUUAAACUUUUGAAAGGAAGAUUUUUUUUCUUUUACUUUUUAUACUUUGCUUGAGUCCUAUAUUUGAAGAUCAAAUUUUCUAUUCUGCCCUGGUCUUUUCAUCAGAAAUAGAUGAAUUUACUUUGUUUCAUUGAAUGUCUAUCUUUUUCCUUGAAAGAUGAUGCUCAGUUUUGCUAGUUAGUUGAUGAUUCUUGGCUGCAAUCCAAGUUCCUUUACCUGUUAGAAUAUCAGAUUCAAUGUUCUUGAUAUUUUAAAAUGGAAUCAACUAGAUCCUGGGUAAUCCAGAUUGUGCCUCCUUGAUAUUUGAAUUGUGUCCUUCUGGCUGCUUGGAAUAUUUUCUCCUUGAUUUGAUAAUUCUGAAAUUUAGCUAUGAUGUUCCUUGGAGUUUUAAUUUUGGGGUCUCUUUCAGGAGAUUAUUGGUGAAAUCUUUCAAUGGCUAUUUUGCCCUGUGGUUCUAGGACACGUGGGCAGUUUUUCUUGAUGAUUUCCUGAAAAAAAUGAUGUCUAGACUCUUUUGUCAUCAUGGUUUUCAGGAAGUCCAAUAAUUGUUAGAUUGUUUCUCCUAGAUCUAUUUUCCAGUUCUGUUGUUUUUCCAAUGAGGUAUUUUCCAUUUUUUUCUAUUUUUUUUAAUUGUUUGACUGAUUCUUGAAUUCACCUUGAGUCAUUUACUUCAAUUUGUCCAAUUCUAAUUCUUAGUGACUUUUUUCUUCAUUUACUUUUUUAUCUCCUUUUGAAUUUGACCAAUUGAGGUAUUUUUGCAUUACAUUUUUGUUCCAUUUCACAAAUUCUGUUUUACAAUGAAUUGGUUUCUUAUUCAUAUCUAUUUUGUAAGGAGUUAUAUACUUUUUUCCAUUUCAUCAAAUCUAUUUUGUAAUGAGUUAUUUGUCUUUUUCAUUUUGAUAAAUCUAUUUUGUAGGGAGUUAUAUGCUUUUCUCAUUUUAUCAAAUCUUUUUAAAGGAUUUUUCUUCAGAUAAUUUCUCAUUUUCCUUUUCUAUACCCUCUCACAAAAAUCUCAUUUUCUUUCUUGGUUUUUCUUUGCUCUACUAAGAUCCUUUUUGAAUUCUUACUAGAGAGGCUUGUAAAAUGGGGAUUAAUUCAUAUAACACUUUGGGGCUUCAUCUGAAGCUGAUUUGCCUUUAAAUCUUCAGUGUUUGAGGGCUGCUCUCUUUUUUUCUCUAUAAAAACUAUUUUAUGGUCAGAGUUUGUUGUUGUUGUUUGUUUGUUUUUGUUUUUGUUUUUGUUUUUCUUUUUUGCUCAUUUUUUUCAAAAGGUUGAGGUUUUCUUUUAACGCAAAAGGGUGACAGCCACUUUAGUUUGCCCUGGGGCCUGUGCUGCUGACUAACUUCCUAUGCUGGGUAGAUAAGGCCAGGUGCUGCAUUCUUCUUGGGCUCAGUGACUCACAAUUUGCCUUUUUUUCUUUGCUUUUGGGUUUCACAACAAGUCUCCUGAAACACCAGCUUGCAAACAGGACAGAGUAUCCUAAGAGCCUCUGCACAAUGCUCUGGCUCCCCAUCCUAACUCCUUUCCCCAAGAUCCUUAUACUAUAGUCUAGGCUAGGUAGCCUCUCUCCCUGCCUAAUUAAAACAGAUCUUUUAUGAAGUUCUUCCAAAGUAUCUUCUAGAAAUUUGUUGUACUCCAGAUAUUUGUGGGUUCUGUCACUCCAAAACCAAUUCAGAGGCUUAAUCUGCUGUUGAUUUGAGGGAAGCUUGGAGGAGGUCAGAUAGAGACAUGCCUACUCUCCACCAUCCUUGUUCCCCCACCACCACCCCAAAAUUUCAAAGUGGGAAAGAGGGAUGUCUUAGGUUUCUCCCCUUUGAGAUCAUAUGUCAAAGAGUCAAUGACAGCUUUUUGUAUAUAUCACAAAAGAACUAUAUUUUUUUUCCCAAGUAGUUGUUGGAUUGAUUAGCUAUUGGGAUCCCUUAUAAUACUCAGGUUCUCCAAUUCCUACUAAUGAAAUGCAAAGAACAUUUUCCCUGUUGAAGCCUAAAAAGUUCAGCUCUUCUUCAGCCAAGAUCCAUAGUUAUCAUUUUCUAGGUUAUAAUGAAUAACUUUAAUCAUGUUUGUUUCCAUUUCCUGUGGAUAUUUUAAUUACAGCAAGAACAACAAAUCACUCCAUUGAUGGAGAGAGCUUUGCCCAACAUCACACAAAGAGACAAAUCUUGUAGCUUCCUUUCAGCCCCUUGUCAAAUACUGCAUUAGUUGUCUGUGGUAUCCCCGCUAGUCUAAUUAAUUACUGAUUUUUAAAAGCCAUUUUCAGAUUAAACAUCAGGCCUGCUUGUGGGAUGCCUUUGUAAAGAGUAGAAACCCCCACCUUCCAUCAACUAUAGAUAUCAUUACUGUCUUAACUCCUGUGAUGUUUUGCCCUUGAUCUUUGAGAACCUAUAAAGCUGAAUAAAAAAUAUGAUUGCAAAAUUUUGCUCAACCAGGAAAUUUCAUAGGAAUUAGUAGCAUAUAGACUAUAGUCAAUCUUUAUGCUUGGUAAUGACAAUCUAUCAAUGAUGGCACCUAUACAAUAAAAUAAAACCAUAUUUACAAUCCUAAAUACAUAAGGCACAACAAUUAGCUCAAUAAAACAACUUACUUUCAAAAUCUUUCCUUGCCAAAGUAUGAUAUAUUUGGAAAUGGACUAGAAUUUGUCAACGCAGAAAAAGUACAGGAAAGGUAAGGGAAAAGAGGAGAGACAGAAAGAGAGAGAGAGAGAGAGAGAGAGAGAGAGAGAGAGAGAGAAGGAGGAGUAGGAAAAGGAGGGAGGAGGGAAAAGGGAAGAGGGAGGAGGGGAGAGUGAGAGAGACAGACAAACAGCUGCAGACACAUGCAUAGAGAGACACACAGAAAGAGAAACACAAAGAAACAGAGACAGACACACACAGAUAUAAAGAGAGAUAGACAUAGACAAGAGAGAUACAGAAACAGAGACAGACACAUAUAUAGACACACACAGAGAGAGAGAGAAGAAAAUAGGGAAGGAAGAAGGGAGGAAGAAAGAAAAAAAGUGUGGAGGAAGGAAGAGAAAGGAAAGGGAAGAGGGAAGGAGAGAGAAAGGGAAGGAUAGAACCAACUGUUUGUAUUAUUUCUCUCCCAGUUUAUCUAAAGAGUAGUAUUCUUUCUAUCUACCUUUAUUCACAGAGCAGGGGAAAGAAGGAAAAGAAGGCCUCUAACUUUUUCUACUGCUCCAUCCUUUGAAAGAGAGGAAAAAUUAUCAGGGCAGAACAAAUUAAUGCAACUUUUUAAUCAUAGCUCAGUGAAAAAAAAGAAUAGAUAAUAUGAAGAUUAAUAGCAGACACUGAAGACAUAGAAGAGAUUCUAUGACAUGGUUGAAAAUACACUUACAACUUCUGGUGAAACUGUCCAAUAUUUCAAUUCAUUGAUCUUCCUGCUAGAAUGGAAUACUAUAAUUUGAGCUAACUUGUAAAGCCCAGGGUAAUCUGUUGGAAGCUGUGCCCCUAGAUGGAGUCAGUUUGUAAUUAAGUCUCAUAUAAUGAUCUGAAUGUUAUUACCAUUUGGCUGCUUAUGAACCUCAGGAUUGAAUCAAGAUGAUUCAGUUCCAUUUGACAAUGGGAAGUUGCUCCAUGUCCCCCAUUCAAAAGUCUGGUGAGCUACAUGGAAGUAAGGACAAUAUGGCUUAUUUUACAGAGUUUAGUACAUUCACACAAUCAGAGAAUAUCAGGUAUCUACCAUGAUCAUUUCAAGUAUGGGAGGAGAUUAGGUGAUAUCGUAAUAGAAGAUCUCAUUAAAUAUUAAUCCUGGCCUUCAAAUUUUAUCAUUUUAUCAAUUCUGCCUUUUCAAGAAAGCACAAAUAAGUAGUCUAAAAAUUAUAUAAUUUUUAAAUGGCUUCCAAUUUUGUCCUGGAAGCAAGCUCAUUAAAACAUAUCAGUAUUGAAUUAAUGUUUGUUGUAUGAAUGAAAAUUAUAUAGUACAGUUGUCUUCAAUGACCAAAUAAUGAUGAUCAUCUUUUAGAUGGGCUUUAGAAGGAUUUUAAAAAGCAUCAUUGGACUCCAAUAUUGCACAAGAAUUAAGCAGAAGAAAAAAAAUGUAAAGGAUGACUUCAAAUGAAUAUAUAACCUCUUCCCCAAAUAUCAAUCUCUUAGCAAGAGUAAGUGUGGGAAUAGAUGAUCUCCAGGACUUUUUGGUAUCUGUAUAAAUGGCAAGAGAAUAAUAAGAAAGCCUCUACUGCAUUUGGUGAAUUGACUUUCCCAUCUUAAUACCAAGAAGGCAUGUAUGUGGGACCUACAGUGUAGACUUGCAUGGAUGAAACUCAUAUCAUUUCAUUCUUAUGUACAGGUUUUUACAUGAUAUCUCCUUUCACUAAAAUAUAAACUCCUUGAGAGCUAACAAUGCCAUUAGCUUUCAGGAUUCACACAGUACCUGGCACAUAGUAGGUACCUAAUGAAUGGAUUUUGUGAUUAUUGGGAGGUAUAUCCACAUGGAUGUGAUUACAAAGUCAUUGUUGCUUUUGACUAUUGCAUUCUGCUGCUAAAUCAACCUGAAUACAUAAAGUUAUUUUCUUACCAGGGCAAUAGUUUUCCUUUAUUUUGCUGUGUAUUAAAGUUCUAAGAUUCUACUUAUUUGAUAUAAAAUAUCCCUUCUGCAGGUAUAAGCAAGUACAACUUUAAUUGCCUAAGACUAAUGGCAUCGAGAUAACAUAUGUUAGAUAAUAACAGUAAGAGCAAUAGUAUAUUUAUAGUCCUUUAUAAUUACCAAAUCAUACAUACAAACUACAGCAAUGUAUACUCACUGAGAGAUAUUAUUCCCCUCCCCUUUUUCAGAGAUAAAAAUCUGAGAGUCUAAAAUAUAAAGACAAAGUUUACAAAGUUAUAAAAUUUAAGUCUCCUGAUUUGCAUUAUUUUCUUCAGUCUUCAAAUAUCUGUCAUUUCCUCCAUAUAGGUAACCUAUCCUCCUUCACCAACAACAACCACAACAUUACUCCCAUGACAACUUAAGAUUUAAGAGUAUGUCACUAUGUCACUGUGUCCCUGUGUCCCCAUUUUAGGAACUACUCCUCCAUUGCCGAUAUUUUUGUCUUUCUUUUGUAUUUUUCUUCCCUUAUUAGAAUCUAAAAUCUUGAGCAGAAUAACUGCCCUUAAGUUUGCCUUAUUCCCAGAACAUAGCACAGUACCUGGCACACACAAAGCAGUAGAUUUUGAAUGAUCUUCAGGAGUUGCUAUUAAUAAAAUAUUAAGUUUCUUUGGGACAACUUAGUGAUAAGCCAGAUCACACUUAGGGAGGCUGAUCCUUGAUCAAUACAAGUGGCUCCAAACCCUUUUCUCUCCAUAUUCUCUACAAUUUACAAAACUGAACAUUUUGGUUAGUUUAUAUUCAAAGCUACUUCCAGCUCUAACUCUCCUGAAUGUAUGAAGACAUCAAUAUUAUUCAGAUUGACAUGUAUGUACACUGAAUGUUCCCAAUUCCAUUUUCUUCUUUUCCACCCACUCUUCCCAUUAUAUUGUCAGGAGGUAAAGUUUUAAGAAAAAGUUGGGAAAAAUCAAGAAGAAUGAUAGCAAUUGGUAUUAGAGAGGGUAAAGAGAGUUCAGGGACAAAGCCAGUUAAAGGUAGAAUAAAGAAAAAAAGCUGAGAUAUGGAUGGACCUGAUCCCCAAUAUAGAAGGUUUUUCUCUAUUAUAGUCCCUGUGAACAAAUUUUAAAAAAUGAGUAUUGAAGUACUUACUGUGUGUUUUCCUUAGUGGUUGCUAGAGAUAUAACACCCUAUAGUGAAUCAAUUAUCAUUCACUUUCUAUGAGGAUGGUAGCACUGAACACAGUAUUAUUCCCAAAGCAAGAACCGAGAUGAUAAGCAUGAGCAUGUGUUGUUGGCGGAGAGUUAGUAGCAGGAAAAGUAACAUGAUAUGCAGGUUGUGUUAGUCCAGGUGAUUGGUUUCCUGGUAAAUUGUUGGAUGGACUAUUUAUUGUGAACGUAGAUCAGAUCAAUAUGGUAGCUUAAGUAAAUUUUCUCUCACUCAUGCAUGAAUCAAGAGAUCUCAGCAUCAGGAAGGAGGGAAAAUCUGGCUUAUUUAAUUGCCUCAGCGAUGGGAGGAGGAGCAUGUUCUGGCAAUCCAGGUCAUAUCAUCAUAGACACAGGGUUUGAAAGGGUGACUCAAUUCGACUCUUUCAUUUGGCAGAUAAGGAACUUCCCACACAACCUUUAAGAGUGAUUCUAUAAUUGCUUUUAUUGAGAACAGACAGCACAUUCACAUGUAAUAUAGUCAUAGGAAUCCCUCACACAGUUUCCAAAAGAAUCUUUAUUAGCUACAAUGAUGACCAUGUUACUUCUUUGCUCUCAAAUUUUCAGUGGCUCCUUGUUGCCUGUGAAGAAAAUCCAACCCCUCAAUCUAGCAGAGCCAGCCACAUUUCUAUUUCUGGGUGACUUUACUUUCAUUUUCUAUGGCAUCAAAGAAAAUAUUGAUUUUUUGCUCAAAAAUCCAUUCAACAUAUCCCUAGCCAGAAAAGCACUCAAAUGUUGGCUGUCCCCAAGAAUAGUUUCUAUCCUAAGGUAACUCUACUGAUGAGAAACAAGUCUUGUCUUUGUAAUAAAGGAAGUUGGAUUGCAGGUUUUUCUCCCCUGUGCCCCACUAGGAGGCCAAAUCAUUCUUAUUAGAGUAGUUUUAUGGUCUAAUUUUUUUAAUACAGUGCCACUUAAUAUAAAUCAUUGUUAAAUUUGACACAAAACCCCUAAACCUGAAAAGACUUUGCUGGAGACUUAACUACACAGACUUCUGACAAUACUGAUGAAUGAUGGAGAAUGACUUACUGUGUAGCAGCACGGUGAACCCAGCUCUGAAAUCGACAUAGUGAAUAAAGCACUGAAACGGAAGUCAAGGGCAAUUGGGCGCCCAUCCUGUUUCGGACACUUACGAGCUGGAGGAGGUUGGAUGGAUUUCUGUUCCUUUCUGAGCCUCAAUAUAUUCUAUUUUAAACUUUUCUUAAUAACUACUUUGUGAUAUCUCCACCGUGCAUUCUACAAUUGAGCCUAUUCUCAUUUAACAAACAUUUAUUAAAUACUAUUAUAUAUAAAAUUGUUUUAGACACUGGGGAUAGAGGAGCAACAAUGAAAAAGUUCCUGCGUUCAAGAGGCUUACAAGCUAAUGAAAGUAGAGGAGCUCAGCCUGGAGGCAGCUAAGGAAGGUAGUAGACAUUGUAGUGGGUUUUGAAUCAAGAUGACAUGAAUUUUAAUUCUGCCUCAGAAAACUUUUAUUAGUUGUAGAAUAAUGGACAAGUCACUCAGCCUGUGUCAAUCUCAGUUUUCUUAUCUAUAAAAUAGGGAUAAUAACAGCACAUAUAUUCUAGGACUAUGGUGAGGUUCAAAUGAGAUAAUAUGUAGAAAUUGCUUUGCAAACGUUAAGGUCUCAACCUUGGUUGUCUAAUCUAUAAAAAAGGGGAUAAUAACAGCCUCUGUGCACUAGGGCUAUGGAGAGUUUCAAAUGAGAUAACAUAUAAAUUGCUUUGCAAUCCCUAACAUCUUAACCUCCAUUUUCUAAUCUAUAAAUUGGGGAUAAUAAUACCAUCUAUGUCCUAGGGCUAUGGUGAGGUUCAGUGAGAAUCACAUAUACAAAUCGCUUUGUAAAUCUUACAAAUGUUAGCUAUAAUAAUAAUGUCAUAUUUUGUUGUCGUAAAGGUGUCUUUUAUCUUUUACCUGAAUGUCAUAAGCAUAGAAAUUUCUAUUUCUAUCUUUUCUGAGCCAUUAAUAAUCAAUUCUAAUCGCUAAUAUUUUUACUGUUACUAAUUCCCAUUUCCAAUGCAUAUGUCUUGUAUGUACAUUUCUGUUUGUAUGGUCUCUCCCAUUAGUUCAUGGGAGCUGAAACAUACUCAGGUUGGAAGAACUUGUCAGCUUAUCUAUAGAGCUAAUUGAAGAUAUAACAUAAAAGUGACAACAGCAGAAACUUAACCCAGUGUGCUAAGCACUAUACAUAUUGAUAUAUUGAAGGAUCUAUGAUCUCAUUGCUUGAUAAAAAUUACAAUUCCCAAUUUCUUAAACUGUAAGAUUCAUCCAUAUUUUCUUAUAAAUACUCCAUGUAGGAUUUUGUCAGUGGAUUUUAGUUCACUUAAUAUCUUGUUGAGGUCAUUAUUCUACUUGAAUUAUCUACCUAUUGUCCAUUAUUCUGGUUCCAUAACCACCCCAAAUUCCUUCUUCAGAUGAUAAUGCCCUUUCUAUAUGUCUUUCAUCUAAAUUGGCAUAGAUAAUAUGCAUCCAUUUUCUUGUGACUACAAUUCAUCUUUCUACUGAUCUUUAGAUUAUAAUUUUAAUUUUCUUCAAAAUUAUGAUCCUAUAGAGUUCAUAGACAUAGCCCAUUUUUGUUGCCCCAUUUGUUACAUUUAUUAUAUAUAUAUAUAUAAUACCAAGACCUUGUACUAAGACAAAUAAAUGCAAAUUAUAUAUAUAUAUAUAUAUUGUUUGUGCAAAAUCUAAUUAAUUUAACAUAAUCAAUGUUGUCCAUUUUCCUUUCAUAAUGUUCUCUUGUUCUUCUUUGAUCAAAAAUUCCUCCCAUCUCCAAAGAUCUGAUAGGUGAAUUAUUCCUUGUUCUCCUAAUUUGUUUAUGGUAUCAUCCUUUAUACCCAAAUCCUGUAUGCACUUUGACCUUUUUUGGUAUGGAGUUUGAGAUGUAGAUUUAUUUUGAAUAAUGUCUACUAUAUAUAUAUAUAUAUUUCAUAUCACUAGAACAUGAACUCUUCUAGAGCAAAAUCCAAUUUUGUUUUGCAUUUGAGCCCUCAGGAUCUAGUCUAGUACUUGACAUGAGGACUUUAGCAAAAUAGAUUUGACUAAAGUAAUCUCACAACUAAAAGAAAAUUUGUUUUGCUGGAAGCUCUAUAACAAUACCAUUGUAUUACCAUAUUCGGUGUUAAGGGCUCUGUAUGAUGAGAGGCAUGUGAGGUGUGCAUAAUAUGUAGUCACUGUCUUGAGAAGGUACUAACAUUCUCAAAGAAAUCAUGAGCCUUGUUCUGUAUAACUUAGCCCACAGGAUAAAUUGAAUUAGAUUGUCAACCACAGACCACUGUAAGCUUUUAAUAAUUAAAUGCUUCCUUUGUCACUAGGGACACAAAUGCACUCUUUAAAUCAAGAGGAUAAUUAAUUUUCCCUGACAAGCCUUCAGAGAACUUGAUUGAGAUUUUAGGACUCAUAUAUAUGACUUGACAGUUUGCAUUUGCUAUUUUUUCCCCUAGGUAAAAUCUGCAAUUUUUCCUGAGCCUUACUAUUAAUAAGUACAGAGGCCAUUAACUCUAAAAAUGUCCUCAUCACUGAGAGAGGUGUCUUAGUCAGCAACUAGAUAAAAAAGUAUGCCCUCAUUUUUGACCUAUAAGUCUUGUUUUCAAAUAGAUUUUACAUUUGCCUUUAACUUGAAAUAGAGGGUAAACAAGGACAAAGGAGUCACCUUGAAUCUUUAAUUAAUUACUUAAAAUUAAUUAAUACUUUAAAAUUAUCAAGGAAGCUUGCUAUGAAACUCAUUAACUUCUAUGAUUUUUCAGUCAUUUUAAGAUAAACAGAACAAUUCCUUCACAACAACUUCAUAGAUUAUUUAGAAGAAUUGGGGACAAAUAAUUCUGAUUGACAAUAUAGAAAAUUCCUUAUUGAUCUAUCAAAUAUUAGAGAUAUUGGGAAUGAUCUUGAGAUCACAUAUUGUUUGAUGACUUAUUCAGGAUCAUCUAAUAGUUUGUGAAAAAGAUAAAACUUAAUUGAUUUUUGAUAUUUGGUUUUAUUUUGGUUAUAAUAAUAAUAAUAAAGAAGAAAGAAAAGAGGAAGAAGGAGAAAGAGGAAGAGGAGAGAGGAGGAGGAGAAGGAAGGAAAAAGGAAAAAAGGAAGAAGGAAGUAGGAGGAAGAAGAGGGGGAAGAGGAAAAAGAAGAGUAGAAGG
rnacentral:lncRNA from 1 species